AAUAUUAAUAGUACAAUAUGAAUAUUAUAACAGAGGAUGAUAAAUUUGUCCCAUUACAUUUUGUAUUUUGUAAUUUUUAUGGUGAAGAUACAUGUUUUUGUUGGAACGAUGAUAAAUUUGUUAUGUUUCCAUACGUACAAGAAAAAUAUACAUCUUUGUUGCCAGUUUUGAUUGCACCGAAACAAAUAAAAACUAUACAAUGCUUUUCCAAUAGAGUUUUCUUUACAUGUUUACCACAUGGUGUAUAUAAACUUUCAAGAGAUAGAAGAUUCAGUGUAUUAAGUAAAAGUGCUAUAAGUGUUGGUUCCAUAUUUUUUGAGAUACUUAAGACAAAGGAUGAUCACUUAUAUUUGGAAAAUAAACAAAACAAAUCGAGUAAAAUAUUACUUCAUUUGCCACUCAUGUCAAAACAACUAGAAGAAUUAUGUACUUUUCCUUUGAACAUGGAAAAUUCAGAACAUGAAUUUAGAAACAUAUUACUAGAUAAAAUUGAUAUGGUAGAUAAUUUAUGUUUGAUUGGAAAUGGUAAAAAGUUAUUUACUUUAACAAAAGAAGUAAUUCAUUUAAUUCAUAGUUGUGAUAAUAAAAUAAUAAACAUUGUACCUAUACAAAAUGACAAAAAGAUUAAUGGAUUAGUACUUAUAACAAAUACAGAUGCAAUUAUCAUUGUGCAUUCAAAAAAUAAUAUAUUACGCUAUAAAAAACUUUAUCUAGGAGUAAAUGUUAAAACCCUUUGUGCAGGACUUAAUUACCAAUGUAGCGAUAAAAUAUGGAUUGUUUAUUCCGAUGGAUCCAAAUUGUAUUAUAUGAUAAUGACACUUUCUACCGAAAUAUAUAAGAAAGUAAAAAUAGAAGAAAAAAAUUUUAUUUGCGUGCAAUAUUAUGAAAAAGAUAAAUUUGUAGGUCUAACUAAAACAAAAGAACUUCAUGAAUUAUCCAUUAAUCCAAUAGAAAAUUGUGUAAAUGAAGAAAUUUCCAAAGAUGAUUUUAUAAAUCUUCAUAAAGAUAUGUUAAAAGGUACAGAUUUAAUUGUUGAACAAAUCUAUGAAAGAGCAAAAGAACUAGAAUUGUGGAAUAAAAUACUUCUUACUGAAGAAGAUAAACUUUAUAGAAUAAAUCUUUAUGCUUGCAGAAAGAAAAUACAAAUGUAUCCUAAAAUGACAGUAUAUAGAAUAGCAAAUCAAUUAUUUCUUAAUAUGGAUUUUCAAGAAAAUUUACCAAAAAAUGUUUAUAUUGUUUGUUUCUUAGUAUCCAAUUAUGAAACAACUUUCUCUAUCAAAGAAAUAGUAAAUAAUGAAACUUCAAUCGAUUUACCUAUAGUAACAAAAAAAUUAUUUAAUUCUUUACAAAUCAGAAUGGAUUUAGUAACAAUCAUAAACGUAGAGCAACCAUGGUUUCUUAUAAGAGAUUUUGUAACAGAUCCAGUUAUAGAGAAGAAGAAGAAACUAAAAGAAAAGCAAAUUAAGAGAGAUAAAACAAAUUUUAUAAAUGCUAAAAUAAAUCUUAUAAGGAAUUUAAUGUUGACAAAAAACUUAACUAUGAAAAAAUUAUCAGAGAUGAAAAAGAAGAUAAGAAAAGAAAUAUGUGACUUUUAAUUUAAUAAUGUAAGCAAUCAUUUCAUAACAUAAAAUGUCUUAUGUUAUUACUAUCACAAUUUUUUAAAAAAGUUUAUAAAAUCAUUUAUGUAAUUAAGAACUGGGCAUUUCUAUUAUACUUCCAAUACUGCAACUGGAACUCUUUGGUUGUUUCACAGAAUUUCUAAAACUAUUUUGUAUUCUGGGACCACCAAGUCGAUCUUGAAGUGUAUCUAAUGAUUUAGCACUUUUCUUCG